ACGGACUUCCCUGUCCCACUAUUCCAGUUCAGGAGCUCCUCCCCAAAUCUCAUGUAUGGAUAAUCUGCUCAGUCUCCUCUUCCAAGAGCAGGGCAGUGCUGAGAUGCAAAGCCCAUGAGUGAGGGGAAGAAGUGCAGAGGGAAUCAGUGACUGGAUCAUGAAAGAAAAAGAGAAGACAUGGAAGAGGCUGCAGAAAUGAAAUGUGACAUUGGUGCUGCUCUAAAUGCAUGAGAAAAAAUGAGAAUUGUGACAGGAAGGUAAAGCUCAGCAGAGGAUUGUACCAACAUGGAUAGGAUGGAUAAGGAUCUGCACAGGUGCAGAAACAUUUUCAGGGAUCUGGCUCCCCUUUUUGUCCAUCAGAAUUUAAAUGGAAGAGGCAAAACCUGGUUGUGUAAAAGUUUCAAUUUACUUUCUCUCUUUUUCUAGAUAAACUCGAAAAUUGCUGUUUUUCUUCCCAGGUGAAGAUGAUAUACAUACUCAUAUUUCCAGACUUUCUGUAGUACAAAUCCCUUUGUGUUUCCUUGGAGCCAUUUCAGCAACGCUCAUGGCUGAGGAUGUGCCUUUCACAGAGGGGAGCACACACCUUUUCCUUGCAUGGCCACAUAUUUCCUUACCUUUUCUUCUUUUCCUGCUUUUCUUCUUAGAAUGCAGAGGCAGCGCACUCCAUCAAAGGGUGUGGCUGGAAUGGAUUCAGGGAAGAUUCCAGGUCACCUUCAGAGCCCCAGGGCUGGGCAGGGAGGAGGAGGAGGUGGCUUCUUCCUCCUGGGCACACAAAGGGCCAGGGCAUCACUGCAAACUUCAUUCAAACCUUCAUCCUCAGGUGCCUGCAGGUGCCAGCACAUGAAUCCCUCUCAGAACCAAUGCUGUGCAUUCCCAGGGCCAGCACAAGCAGCUGUGCAUUCCUGGAAUGUGGUCCCUGGAGAGUGGCUGAAGCCCCCGCACAAAGGAAAUGAGUCCGGUUUAGCAGAGGAACCAGGAGAAACAGCUAUUACUGAUAAGAAGUUAUUGCAAGCAGAGCCUGGGAUCCCAUGCCAGUUGGCAGGCUGAAUUAUCCACCAGAUUUUCAUCAGAAGGACUUGGAUCAUUUUGAAAAGUGAUGCAGGAGCAUGUACUCGAGCUGAGCUAUCUAAUGAUUUAAAGCUUUGUAUUAAAUAGCUGUUCAGCUGCAGUCACUGAGUCAGUCCUGCCCACCUUAAACUCCUUUGCCUAGCUUGGAGCAUUGUAAACCUGGGG
rnacentral:lncRNA from 1 species